rnacentral:lncRNA from 1 species
GCGCAAGAGAUUUAGUCUGUGGCGAAGCUUCGAGGCGGCCAGUACUGUUGAGUGCGACAAGCAGAGGCGCCGCCUUAGCGGCCUGGACUCAAAAACAAUGGCGGCUAUUGAUACAGAACGAGAUGGAUUAGCCCCAGAAAAGACAUCGCCAGAUAGAGAAAAGAAGAAAGAACAGUCAGAUAUAUCUGUUUCUCCUAGAGCCUCAAAACAUCAUUAUUCAAGGUCGAGGUCAAGGUCAAGAGAAAGAAAACGAAAGUCAGAUAAUGAUGGGAGAAAGCACAGGAGCCGGAGCAGAAGCAAAGAGGCAAGAAGACAUGAAUCCAAAGAUAAGUCCUCUAAGAGACACAAGUCUGAGGAGCACAAUGACAAAGAACAUUCUUCUGACAAAGGAAGAGAGCGAUUAAAUUCAUCUGAGAAUGGUGAGGACAGACAUAAACGCAAAGAAAGGAAGUCGUCACGGGGCAGAAGUCACUCGAGGUCUAGAUCUCGUGAGAGGCGCCAUCGCAGUAGAAGCAGGGAAAGGAAGAAGUCUCGGUCAAGGAGUAGGGAUCGGAAAAAAUCUCGAUCCAGAAGCAGAGACAGGAAGAAGUCAAGAUCCAGAAGCAGGGAUAGAAAACGGAGGAUCAGAACACGUUCCCGGUCAAGAUCCAGACACAGGCAUAGGACUAGAAGCAGGAGCAGAUCACGGAGUCGAAGUCGAUAGAAAGAAGAGAAUCGAAAAACCAAGAAGAUUUAGCAGAAGC